GUGGGGGAUAUUGCACAAUGGAGGAAACUCUGAUGCAGCGACGCCGCGUGAGUGAAGAAGUAUUUCGGUAUGUAAAGCUCUAUCAGCAGGGAAGAUAAUGACAGUACCUGACUAAGAAGCCCCGGCUAACUACGUGCCAGCAGCCGCGGUAAUACGUAGGGGGCAAGCGUUAUCCGGAUUUACUGGGUGUAAAGGGAGCGUAGACGGAAUGGCAAGUCUGAAGUGAAAUCCUGCGGUUUAACUGCAGAAUUGCUUUGGAAACUGUCAAUCUGGAGUGUUGGAGAGGUAAGCGGAAUUCCUGGUGUAGCGGUGAAAUGCGUAGAUAUCAGGAAGAACACCGGAGGCGAAGGCGGCUUACUGGACAAUAACUGACGUUGAGGCUCGAAAGCGUGGGAAGCAAACAGGAUUAGAAACCCUGGUAGUCC
rnacentral:rRNA from 1 species